AGAGUUUGAUCCUGGCUCAGGAUGAACGCUAGCUACAGGCUUAACACAUGCAAGUCGAGGGGCAGCAUGGUCUUAGCUUGCUAAGGCCGAUGGCGACCGGCGCACGGGUGAGUAACACGUAUCCAACCUGCCGUCUACUCUUGGACAGCCUUCUGAAAGGAAGAUUAAUACAAGAUGGCAUCAUGAGUCCGCAUGUUCACAUGAUUAAAGGUAUUCCGGUAGACGAUGGGGAUGCGUUCCAUUAGAUAGUAGGCGGGGUAACGGCCCACCUAGUCUUCGAUGGAUAGGGGUUCUGAGAGGAAGGUCCCCCACAUUGGAACUGAGACACGGUCCAAACUCCUACGGGAGGCAGCAGUGAGGAAUAUUGGUCAAUGGGCGAGAGCCUGAACCAGCCAAGUAGCGUGAAGGAUGACUGCCCUAUGGGUUGUAAACUUCUUUUAUAAAGGAAUAAAGUCGGGUAUGGAUACCCGUUUGCAUGUACUUUAUGAAUAAGGAUCGGCUAACUCCGUGCCAGCAGCCGCGGUAAUACGGAGGAUCCGAGCGUUAUCCGGAUUUAUUGGGUUUAAAGGGAGCGUAGAUGGAUGUUUAAGUCAGUUGUGAAAGUUUGCGGCUCAACCGUAAAAUUGCAGUUGAUACUGGAUAUCUUGAGUGCAGUUGAGGCAGGCGGAAUUCGUGGUGUAGCGGUGAAAUGCUUAGAUAUCACGAAGAACUCCGAUUGCGAAGGCAGCUCACUGGAGUGUAACUGACGUUGAUGCUCGAAAGUGUGGGUAUCAAACAGGAUUAGAUACCCUGGUAGUCCACACGGUAAACGAUGGAUACUCGCUGUUGGCGAUAUACGGUCAGCGGCUUAGCGAAAGCGUUAAGUAUCCCACCUGGGGAGUACGCCGGCAACGGUGAAACUCAAAGGAAUUGACGGGGGC
rnacentral:rRNA from 1 species